UUUUGACCGUGCAAAGGUAGCAUAAUCAAUAGUAUUUUAAUUGGAGNCUUGUAUGAAUGAUUGGACGAGGUAUUAACUGUCUCAACUAAAUUUUUUAUAGAAUUUUAUUUUUUAGUUAAAAAGCUAAAAUUAAUUUAAAGGACGAGAAGCCCCUAUAGAUCUUUAUAAUUAUUUUAUAAAAUUUAUAAAGAAUAGUUUAAAUUUUAUAGAUCUAAUUAUUUUAUUGGGGUGAUAAUAAAAUUUAUAAAACUUUUAUUUCUUUUUUACAUUAAUUUAUGAAUUAUUGAUCCAAUUUUAUUGAUUAAAAAAUUAAGUUACCUUAGGGAUAACAGCGUAAUAUUUUUUGAGAGUUCCUAUCGACAAAAAAGUUUGCGACCUCGAUGUUGGAUUAAAGAUUAAUUUAGGUGCAGCAGUUUAAAAUUCAAGUCUGUUCGACUUUUAAAUCUUUACAUGAUCUGAGUUCAAACCGGCGUAAGCCAGGUUGGUUUCUAUCCUUAAUAAUUUAUGAUAUUUUAGUACGAAAGGACCAAAUAUUAAAAAAAUAAUUUUUUUUUAUAAUUGAAUAUUAAUAAUAAAUCGA
rnacentral:rRNA from 1 species